AGUGAACGCUGGCGGUAGGCCUAACACAUGCAAGUCGAACGGCAGCACAGUAAAAGCUUGCUCUUACGGGUGGCGAGUGGCGGACGGGUGAGGAAUACAUCGGAAUCUACUUUUUCGUGGGGGAUAACGUAGGGAAACUUACGCUAAUACCGCAUACGACCUACGGGUGAAAGCAGGGGAUCUUCGGACCUUGCGCGAUUGAAUGAGCCGAUGUCGGAUUAGCUAGUUGGCGGGGUAAAGGCCCACCAAGGCGACGAUCCGUAGCUGGUCUGAGAGGAUGAUCAGCCACACUGGAACUGAGACACGGUCCAGACUCCUACGGGAGGCAGCAGUGGGGAAUAUUGGACAAUGGGCGCAAGCCUGAUCCAGCCAUACCGCGUGGGUGAAGAAGGCCUUCGGGUUGUAAAGCCCUUUUGUUGGGAAAGAAAAUCAGCAGGUUAAUACCCCGCUGUUCUGACGGUACCCAAAGAAUAAGCACCGGCUAACUUCGUG
rnacentral:rRNA from 1 species